rnacentral:lncRNA from 1 species
GUAACUUUGCAUAUAUUAAAAAAAUUAAUUAUAAUACGGCACCUAAGAAUCAAAUCCGAACGGUCCCACUUACUAAAUACCCAAAAAUUUCGGGUCCGGCUCAAAUCUCGUUAGAACAAAAUUGAACUGGACCAUGUCUAGCCCUAAUCUCACCAACAAAUCUUAUAUUACAAAAUACUAGAGAUAAAAGUAUUUAGGUAACAGAACAGGCCCAAAUGUCAUUUGCUCAGGCAAUGGAAUCUUCAGCCCUGAGAGGGUUGAUUCAUCAAUUUCAGAGGCGAAUUCUCAAUACAGCGUAGGAAAAAUUUCGUAAUCAAGUUGAGGUUCCAUUAUUCCCUUUUCUACCAUUUCUUGGCAACAUCUUGUCCUCCAAAACUGCAAACCUCGUAUGGCUUCAUCAUCUCUUUGAAAACGUAAAAUGGUCAAUUGAAUGCCACUGCUGAUUGAUCAACUUGUUUUAUUUCCCGACCGCAUCAUCUUGAUCAAAGCGUUGCACGUCUGCGCAACAGGCUGGGUGAUGGGGUCCUUUCUCCUUCGUAUUCUUCGACAACUUACACAUCACCUCGAUCUUCUUUUGAUUCACAAAUUCUGCCAUCAAACAAGUCUAGAAUGCAGCAUCUAACUUAUACAUCCAUUCGAUCUGCUUUUGAAUCACAAAUCCCGACAUUCAUUCGUAACUAAGCAUUUCAUUUUAAGAACACAACAGCUUCGUUCAUCUUCCCUUGUUUGCAGAAGUCCUUGACCAAGAUUGGAAAAUAAACCUGUAGCCUUCAUCAAGUUGAACAGCUUGAUUGUAUCGGACAUUUUCUUUCUUGAAACCUUAACGCCCUUAUUGAACAGCGUAUUUUGAGCAUCAUCAGGCUUAAAACCCUUCUCAAUCAUCUUAUUUCACCUCCUCCACGACUCCAUUAAAAUCUUCACCCAGCGCCAAAGACUGAGCCGAAACUUUAUAAACGCUAUAAUUCAGCAUGAAACUACAUCCCAAUUUCUCAAAGAAAGCCCGUGCUUCUUUUCACAAUCCCCAGGAUGUCCCAGCAAAGAGUUUGAUCCAUCUCUUCCCCAACUUUAGUAUAUUAAACUUCUCCAUAGAUGAAAAUACCAACAGUCAAUUUCCUCUCCUUCACAGAAACAAAUGCUUCGAUCACCUGAAUAAACGUUUCCCUCGUGAGCAGAUCCUUCUCUUCUUUUCCUCAAGGACAAACACCAUGUUCUCAAACUGUCUCCUCUUCUCAAGAACAAUAAUCAUCACAUUUACUUGCCAAAUCUCGAUUAAAAUUCAACUUGCAAUCAUCUAAAAUCAUUUAAUAUUCACCUCCAAACUCAUAUCUUUGAUCUGAAUCAAUUCACUUGCUAUGUCCACCUCCAUCUGAUCAGUCCUCCAUUUCACAUUUUUAACGAUAAUUGAUUCAUUUCCGCAACCACGCAACACUCAUUCCCAAAAUCCAAUCGCGCAACAAUAACACGAGGAAUUAAAGACCCUAAAUUAUUCAAGCAAUAAAAGGAAACACUGUUAUUGUAGGAAAAUCUCAGCUUCCAGUAUCGGUUUAAUGCAAUAUUUUUUGAAGAGGAGAGAAUGAAGUGGGAUGUGACAAAAUAAAUGGAAUUUCACAAAAAGCACAAUAGACUACUACGAGUUAGAGAAUGAAGCAAAGAACACAUGGACAGAGAGCUACUGUUAGUUUGCUUUCCUUGAAUUCAUCAACCCCGUACCGUUCAGAUUUGUAAUUCGGUGGUGCUAAGGAAGAGUUUGCCAUUUACGGUGGUUUUUCCGGUAGAAUUUGAGUGAAAAAUAGAUUUGAAGAGUAGGGGUUUCUUCAAAAUGCCCAAAUAUGCAGCCUUUUUGUGUAAAUUGAAGAAAAAGAGAACGCUUAAAUUGAGUGGAACGUGGAUUCGAAGAUCGAUGAUUUCUUCAAAAUGCUCAAAUAUAUAGCCCUUUAGUGUAACAACAAAAAAAGGAAUGCUCAAAUUGAGUGGGAUUUGGAUUUGAAGAGUAGAAAUUUCUUCCACGUUCUCCAGUAAUUAGCAAAUUCAUUUUACUGGGACAUUCAAAGUGAAAAAAAGAAGUAAUGGUUGCAGUUGGAAGUUUCAGAACGAGCGUUCACACAGAAGUGCAGGUUCGUUUCGUGGCUGGAUAGUGAUGCUGUGGUCUGGUGAAGGAGAAAGAUGAUGGGAGCAUGUUGAAUGAGCUGCAAAGUCAACUUCUUUAUUACAAGAAAGUUUGGUAAAUUAUGGAACCCAAUUUAGGGCAUCUCCAA